UUAAGUAUGUAUUAUAAUUUUAUAUAUGUAGAUAUAAAUUUAAAUAAGAAUUUUAAAUAGUACUACAAAUCUUGUUUUGUCUUCUUCCGUACAGAAAUGGAGCGAUCCGUCUGCAGCACACCGAUCACCCCUCGCCGCACCCUCACUCCCAAUCCGCGGCCGUCUCCUUCGCCGACAUGUACAUCAUGCACCUGCAGCGCCCUGCGGUCUCCCUCCACCAGCUCGGUCUCCACUCCCGUCUCGCGCCCCCAAACCCAGCCGUUCAGGCGACGCCGCCGCGCCGCCGCUCACCGCUGUCCCCGUUCCCUGCGGCCGCGGCCGCGGCCAUCGCAGGGAGCAGGCUCGCUUAUCGUCUCCCCCGCGCCUCCGCCGCCGCAAACCCUCAUCCGGACCCUCAGGAUGAGCCGCAGCCGAGGGGCGGGUUCUGGGCCAAAUGGAUGGCGGAGAGCGCGGAGAUGAGGGCGAAGGUGGCCAAGCUCGGCCUGUCCGCCGUGCUGGCCUACGGCCUGUUCGACGCCGUCACCUACACGACGUUCUUCGUGCUCGCCUUUCUCGGCUACGAGAAGAGCACCGGCAAGAACCCUGCAGCCAAUCUCAAGGCCUUGCUUGGGAUAGUUAUCCUAAUGUGGACCGGUAACAAUGUUACUAGGCCAUUCCGAGUUGCUGGUGCAGCUGCGUUGGCACCGGUGAUUGACAAAGGUUUGAAGGGUAUUCAAGAGAAACUUAACCUUCCAAGCCAGAUGUAUGCUUUCGCACUUGUGGUUGGCUCCGUGGCUGCAGUAUGCUUCACAAUUUUCGGUUGCUUGAUCCUCUCAAAAUGGGGAAAGUGAAGAGUCAAUCCUCCCAUGUCCACAGUUAGAAUCCUGGUCCUCAACAAGAUGAGCAAGCAAAUAAUGCAUCCUCUUCUGCAUAUUUGUAUGAACAUUGGAUCCAACUAGUGCAUUAAAAAAAACAGGUGUUAUACUGAUAUGUCACUUGGAGUUGCAACUAGGAGGACAAGCAGAAGGCAAUUGCUAGUUACCCUGUGUCGUUUCCUCCAGCAGGGUUCCUUGGAGUUGGAGGGGCUCCGAUAGAAAAACUGAUGCCUUCCACCGUAUGUCCUGAUAAAGUAAAGGUAGAAAAUGUGGAGAAAUCUUAGCUUUAAUACCUGACCCUUUUCAUUCUGCUCGUAGUAUUAGCUUGAUAUUCAGUAAUAUUUGAAGGUACAUACCACCGCUCUCUGCUAGUUCCAGUCCUCCUGAAUUCUUGUUCUGCCUUCCCAGUCUAUAUUUCUAAUUACACAAUAGAAGUUGCAGUAGCACGGUGUUAGUAUAACCAAGCAAACAAAAUGAAGACCAAAUAUAUGCCAUGUUUCAGAAAAUGGAACCGAGUUCAAACCUGAAGGUGGCUUUUUAGAUGGUACAGAGUGAGUCCUUUCAUGCCCAUUAAUCUGAGCACCGACUUGGGUGUUGCUUCUGUUACAGGAAGCACGAUCAGAAUGGAGACAAUUAAUUAUUUCUAUGCUAAUAAAUGAAGCAAGAUCAUGCAUAAGAAUAUAAGAUCAGGCUGGACUAUGCAUGAUUUCUUUUUACCUAGCAUGACAGAUGAUGUGAGUAUACUAAUACUGUUCUUUCGAAAUGAAAUUCUUGACACUGAAAUUGAAAAUCAAUUUGCAUGCCCAAAAUUAGCCAUGCAGCUAUGCAUAGUUAUGACUAACUGUUUAAACACAAACGGUGCCCGCUGCCUUGACAAGUCUAUGAAGCUUGUGUCAGCUGCAGAGUCAGGCAUGGCAACAAGAUUUGGACUGAACAAUGCAACAGCCAACAGCACUACUGCAGUUUAGUUUGGAAAAAUCAGCAGACAAGGGCCAAAUUAAAGCCGAUCAUUGCACCGUGAGUCCGUGACGCGAGGAGGAGCAAUAUAAGCAAAGGACUCACUGUCUGGGCCGCCGAGCUUGGUGACGGCGUCGACGAAGCGCUCGUGGAGGUCCGGCGUCCACCGCAGCCGCGGCUUCGGGUCCCGCGCCGGCGCCGCCGUCACUCCGCCGUAGCACCCUUCCAUCCCCUGAAACAUCUCCGU